AUGCCGACGGCGGCCUGCGGGUGUCGCUGUUUAGUCGUCUGAAAUGUUUUAAUGUUCUCAUCAGGCGUUAAAGGGAAACUCAAUCCGAGCGGAGCUGCAGAUCUGCGGGUCAGAUGGCGAAACCAUACGAGUUCAACUGGCUGUGGCCUGUUCCUCAUUUCAUGCAGGAAGGAGCAUAUUUUGACAGAUUUGAUGAGGAUCCGUUUGUCUUCGAAUCGAACUGUUUUUUCAAAGUGGAUGCUUUUGGAUUCUUCCUGACGUGGAAAAGCGAGGGAAAGGAGGGUCAAGUUUUUAGAGUUUUAGUUUUUCAU